rnacentral:rRNA from 1 species
GGUUGAUCCUGCCAGUAGUCAUAUGCUUGUCUUAAAGAUUAAGCCAUGCAUGUCUAAGUAUAAGCAUUUAUACUGUGAAACUGCACAUGGCUCAUUAAAUCAGUUAUAGUUCAUUUGAUGGUACCUUACUACAUGGAUAACCGUAGUAAUUCUAAAGCUAAUACAUGCAUAAGGUCCCAAUUCACGAAGGGACGUAUUUAUUAGGUUAAAAACCAAUGCGGGUUUUGCUCGCUUUGUUGUUGAAUCAUAAUAACUGUUCGAAUCGCAUGACUUCACGUCGGCGAUAGGUCAUU